GAGAACGACCAUACCAACAUGACAGCACCGCUUCUAGUCUGCUCAGCGAAGUUAAGCAUGUUCGGGCCACGUUGGGAUCCCAGGUGUUGUUUUCU
rnacentral:rRNA from 1 species